GCCCCCGUGGCCCAACGGCAGAGGCAUGCGACUUAAAAUCGCCGAGUUGAGGGUUCGAAUCCCUCCGGGGGCA
rnacentral:tRNA from 3 species